CCUUCGAUAGCUCAGUUGGAAGAGCGUGGGACUGUAAUUGGAUAUCCGUAACAUCCCGAGGUCACUGGUUCGAUCCCGGUUCGAAGGA